ensembl:misc_RNA Metazoa_SRP Metazoan signal recognition particle RNA
GCUGGGCGUGGUGGCUCACGCCUGUAAUCCCAGCAUCUUGGGAGGCAGAGGUGGGCAGAUCACCUGAGGUCAGGAGUUCGAGACCAGCCUGACCAACAUGGAGAAAGCCCGUCUCUA